GGUAGAGAGAGCCCGACCCCCGUGGGUGUGCCAGCAGGUGCCCAUGCGGUGCCGGCCGGCACCCCCAUGAGGAAAGUCCCCCCACCGUUCGGACAGGUGACCGGGCGCAAGCCCGGAGUCGGAGACGGCUGGCACUGAAACAGCAACGAGACCCCCUGCCCCGACCGAUGAGACGUGCGAACCGACCCGUAAGGGAAGGGAGUUAACCCGUCGAGGGCGUGGUGCCACGCACCACGUUACUGCGAGCGGCGAAGCCGCGAGCACUGCGAUGGCAACGCCAUCGAAACGCGGGCAUCGCCCGCGCGACGGGCAGGAACGGAUGGAACGGUGAAUCCUCACCGGUGCAAGGUCGCGUCAGGCGGUCGGUCGGCCACGCCGCGUGGUCGGCUUGCCGCCGAGGUAGUCCGAACACGACGCGGCUGCUCAGCCGAAUGUCGGGCCGAACAGAAGGGGGCUUACUCCUCUCAACC
rfam:uncultured archaeon A07HN63 genomic scaffold scf7180000020195, whole genome shotgun sequence.